rnacentral:rRNA from 1 species
GACGAACGCUGGCGGCGUGCUUAACACAUGCAAGUCGAACGGAAAGGCCUCUUUCGGGGGGUACUCGAGUGGCGAACGGGUGAGUAACACGUGAGUAACCUGCCCUUUACUUUGGGAUAACUUCAGGAAACUGGGGCUAAUACCGGAUAGGAGCUCCUGCCGCAUGGUGGGGGUUGGAAAGUUUCGGCGGUUGGGGAUGGACUCGCGGCUUAUCAGCUUGUUGGUGGGGUAGUGGCUUACCAAGGCUUUGACGGGUAGCCGGCCUGGGAGGGUGACCGGCCACAUUGGGACUGAGAUACGGCCCAGACUCCUACGGGAGGCAGCAGUGGGGAAUAUUGCACAAUGGGUGGAAGCCUGAUGCAGCAACGCCGUGUGCGGGAUGACGGCCUUCGGGUUGUAAACCGCUUUCGCUCAUGACGAAGCUUUGUGUGACGGUAGUGGGUAAAGAAGCACCGGCUAACUACGUG